rnacentral:rRNA from 1 species
GAUGAACGCUGGCGGCGUGCCUAAUACAUGCAAGUCGAGCGAACGGACGAGAAGCUUGCUUCUCUGAUGUUAGCGGCGGACGGGUGAGUAACACGUGGAUAACCUACCUAUAAGACUGGGAUAACUUCGGGAAACCGUAGCUAAUACCGGAUAAUAUUUUGAACCGCAUGGUUCAAAAGUGAAAGACGGUCUUGCUGUCACUUAUAGAUGGAUCCGCGCUGCAUUAGCUAGUUGGUAAGGUAACGGCUUACCAAGGCAACGAUGCAUAGCCGACCUGAGAGGGUGAUCGGCCACACUGGAACUGAGACACGGUCCAGACUCCUACGGGAGGCAGCAGUAGGGAAUCUUCCGCAAUGGGCGAAAGCCUGACGGAGCAACGCCGCGUGAGUGAUGAAGGUCUUCGGAUCGUAAAACUCUGUUAUUAGGGAAGAACAUAUGUGUAAGUAACUGUGCAUAUCUUGACGGUACCUAAUCAGAAAGCCACGGCUAACUACGUG